UACGUAGGUGGCAAGCGUUAUCCGGAAUUACUGGGCGUAAAGCGCACGCAGGCGGUCUUUUAAGUUUGACGUGAAAGCUCCCGGCUUAACUGGGAGAGGUCGUUGAAGACUGGAAGACUUGAGGCAAUGAGAGGGGUGUAGAAUUCCCGGUGUAGUGGUGGAAUGCGUAGAUAUCGGGGGGAACACCAGUGGCGAAGGCGACUACCUGGCCUGUUCUUGACGCUGAGGCGCGAAAGCUAGGGGAGCAAACGGG
rnacentral:rRNA from 1 species